UACGUAGGUGGCAAGCGUUAUCCGGAAUUACUGGGCGUAAAGCGCACGCAGGCGGUCUCUUAAGUUUGACGUGAAAGCUCCCGGCUUAACUGGGAGAGGUCGUUGAAUACUGGGGGACUUGAGGCAAUGAGAGGGGUGUAGAAUUCCCGGUGUAGUGGUGGAAUGCGUAGAUAUCGGGGGGAAUACCAGUGGCGAAAGCGGCACCCUAGCGUUGUUCUGACGCUCAUGUGCGAAAGCGUGGGGAGCGAAC
rnacentral:rRNA from 1 species